UUUGAAACACUGGUUUCCGUAUGAUCACCGAAGUUAAGCAAUGUCGAACUUUGUCAGUAUCUAGAUGGGGGAUCGCUUGGGUAUACCAGGCGCUGUAG